AGAGUUUGAUCAUGGCUCAGAACGAACGCUGGCGGCGUGCCUAACACAUGCAAGUCGUACGAGAAAGGGUCUUCGGACCUGAGUAAAGUGGCGAACGGGUGAGUAACGCGUGGAUAAUCUGCCCUUCAGUUGGGGAUAACCCAUCGAAAGGUGGGCUAAUACCGAAUAAUGCUCCUGGACUCCGGUCCAGUAGCCAAAGAUGGCCUCUGCAUGCAAGCUGUCGCUGAAGGAUGAGUCCGCGUACCAUUAGCUAGUUGGUAGGGUAAUGGCCUACCAAGGCGAUGAUGGUUAGCUGGUCUGAGAGGAUGAUCAGCCACACUGGAACUGAGACACGGUCCAGACUCCUACGGGAGGCAGCAGUGAGGAAUCUUGCGCAAUGGGGGAAACCCUGACGCAGCAACGCCGCGUGAGUGAAGAAGGCCUUCGGGUUGUAAAGCUCUGUCGGGUGGGAAGAAAUGCAUGGAGGUUAAUACCCUUUAUGCUUGACGGUACCACCAGAGGAAGCACCGGCUAACUCCGUGCCAGCAGCCGCGGUAAUACGGGGGGUGCGAGCGUUGUUCGGAAUCAUUGGGCGUAAAGGGCGUGUAGGCGGCGUGGUAAGUCAGAUGUGAAAGCCCUGGGCUUAACCCAGGAAGUGCAUUUGAAACUGCCAUGCUAGAGUACGGGAGAGGGAAGUGGAAUUCCUGGUGUAGAGGUGAAAUUCGUAGAUAUCAGGAGGAACAC
rnacentral:rRNA from 1 species